ensembl:lncRNA
GUUGGCUGUAGCCACCGUACAGUGGGGCCCCCGUCAUGGGUUGCGGUCCUGCUUGGUGCGGGGCAUAAGGUUGUGGAUCGUGAGCCUGUGGAGGAUGUACGCAGCCUGUUGUGGUUGCUGGGAGACCAGCGCAUAAGGAAAAGGGAGGGGGGAUCUGGAUAAGCGCCAUAUUGGAGGUGGCACUUCCACGCUGUUACCCUGGUUCGAGCUACAAGGCUCAGAGAGAACUUAUUGGACUACCUAAGUGUUACGCUUCAUGUGGAGAUGCAAGGACUAUGGAACGCAGUGCUCUGAGACAGAAGUCUUCAACCAUAGACUUAACUACAUCUGUGGGAUGAUUUUGAUCCAUGGCUCACUGGGAGGACUGCCAGAGUUCAAUGAAAUCAUUCAAAUGGUGAUACUGCAAGACAAGUUGAUCUUUGUUGUGAAGAAGCUCAGUGGAUGGUAUAUUGAACACUGUAGAGCUUAUGAUCGCCAGGCAAGGAAGUGGGAACUUAUUGGACCAGAAGAACUACAUGAUGCUUACCCCCUGGCCGACUACAAAAUUGGGAGGAUGCGUCUUGUCACAUUGAAAAGAUAUAUCCAUGUUUAGUAUGGAGGACUAAAAGUGCCACAAUUAAAUAAAUAAACACAC